CUGCGAAUGGCUCAUUAAAUCAGUUAUCGUUUAUUUGAUAGUACCUUACUACUUGGAUAACCGUGGUAAUUCUAGAGCUAAUACAUGCUAAAAACCCCGACUCCGGGAGGGGUGUAUUUAUUAGAUAAAAAACCAACGCCCUUCGGGGCUCCUUGGUGAUUCAUAAUAACUAAACGAAUCGCAUGGCCUUGCGCCGGCGAUGGUUCAUUCAAAUUUCUGCCCUAUCAACUUUCGAUGGUAGGAUAGUGGCCUACCAUGGUAUCAACGGGUAACGGGGAAUUAGGGUUCUAUUCCGGAGAGGGAGCCUGAGAAACGGCUACCACAUCCAAGGAAGGCAGCAGGCGCGCAAAUUACCCAAUCCCGACACGGGGAGGUAGUGACAAUAAAUACUGAUACAGGGCUCUUACGGGUCUUGUAAUUGGAAUGAGUACAAUUUAAAUCCCUUAACGAGGAACAAUUGGAGGGCAAGUCUGGUGCCAGCAGCCGCGGUAAUUCCAGCUCCAAUAGCGUAUAUUAAAGUUGUUGCAGUUAAAAAGCUCGUAGUUGAACCUUGGGCCUGGCUGGCCGGUCCGCCUCACCGCGUGCACUGGUCCGGCCGGGCCUUUCCUUCUGGGGAUCCGCAUGCCCUUUACUGGGUGUGUCGGGGAACCAGGACUUUUACUUUGAAAAAAUUAGAGUGUUCAAAGCAGGCCUUUGCUCGAAUACAUUAGCAUGGAAUAAUAGAAUAGGACGUGAGGUUCUAUUUUGUUGGUUUCUAGGACCGCCGUAAUGAUUAAUAGGGAUAGUCGGGGGCAUCAGUAUUCAAUUGUCAGAGGUGAAAUUCUUGGAUUUAUUGAAGACUAACUACUGCGAAAGCAUUUGCCAAGGAUGUUUUCAUUAAUCAGUGAACGAAAGUUAGGGGAUCGAAGACGAUCAGAUACCGUCGUAGUCUUAACCAUAAACUAUGCCGACUAGGGAUCGGGCGAUGUUACUAUUCUGACUCGCUCGGCACCUUACGAGAAAUCAAAGUC
rnacentral:rRNA from 2 species